rnacentral:piRNA from 1 species
UAAUGAACAUCUACUUUGGCA